rnacentral:rRNA from 1 species
GAUGAACGCUGGCGGCGUGCCUAAUACAUGCAAGUCGAGCGAACAGACGAGGAGCUUGCUCCUCUGACGUUAGCGGCGGACGGGUGAGUAACACGUGGAUAACCUACCUAUAAGACUGGGAUAACUUCGGGAAACCGGAGCUAAUACCGGAUAAUAUAUUGAACCGCAUGGUUCAAUAGUGAAAUACGGUUUUGCUGUCACUUAUAGAUGGUUCCGCGCCGCAUUAGCUGGUUGGUAAGGUAACGGCUUACCAAGGCAACGAUGCGUAGCCGACCUGAGAGGGUGAUCGGCCACACUGGAAGUUGGACACGGUCCAGGCUCCUACGGGAGGCAGCAGUAGGGAACCGUCCGCAAUGGGCGAAAGCCUGACGGAGCAACGCCGCGUGAGUGAUGAAGGUCUUCGGAUCGUAAAACUCUGUUAUUAGGGAAGAACAAAUUUGUAAGUAACUAUGCACGUCUUGACGGUACCUAAUCAGAAAGCCACGGCUAACUACGUG